AGUGAAGCUGCCGCCAGCCAAGAAUGCCUGGGGCCGCCAGAAGCUGGAGACUUAAUUGGACUCGUAAAAUCUACUUGUCUAGACGACGUGAUACUUGGCCACUUAAUUCUGCACGUGACUGUGUGGUCAAGGCUGCUGAAUGUUUUUCCAGCCAAAGAGAGAGAGAGAGCUGGUGGUGAAGUCAUCCUCAACCCGGGCUUGCAUCAUUCAUCCCUCAU